AUGUAAUCCCAUAAAAUGUACAAAUGAAUAUUGAUGAUAGCUCACAACUUUUUAGCAAUACUUGUAAAUAAUGAAUAUAUUAGACUAAUAAAAGUGUUUACUCUUAAAAACAGCUCAGGAACAGCAGAUGGCGUGGCUGUAAUUUGGAUCCUAAUCCAAGGCCUACUCAAAUCACAGCAGGAACCAGGUAUCUCUUGGGCAUUUGUCUAAGGAAAAAGCAGUACCCCCUGUGUUGAAGUUACAGCACGUUUGUUUUCAAGAAGAAUUGAAAAGAAAAAUGCAUCUAGUGGUGCAUUAUUCCAAUGUCUGUUGCCAUUUUUCUACUGGAAGUCAUAGAAGUAAGGAAGGGGUACGAUAAAGAAUGGCAUGCUGGCAGAGACCUAACCAGGGUGAUUGGAAUGGAAGAAACACAAACAAUUUGGCUUCCCCAAAUGCUGCUCUCUGCAGGAACUUAUCACCAUUACAGGAGCAGGUGGCUCUUUCCAAUGCUCCCAUCACUCUGUAGAAUUUGGUUGGGAAUCUCAUGAGUAGAUAACAAUCAUUUUCAAAUGGUAGAAAGCCAGCACACACAGGAGCAUGUACAAUAGUUCAGAGUCAUACUGGGUUCUGGCUACUUUCCUUUGGAAGAUUGCUUUUUCCCGUGUGUAUUAGAAAAUACUUAAAUACGGGGGUUGUUUUUAUUUUUUUAAAGAUAAUGUUUAGUUUUAAAAGGUUAAUUGAUGGCCAUUACGGGAACAUCGAAGAGUUCUGCUCCCUUUUAUGCCACCUGUCUCUGCCGAAAUGGCAAUGGCCUUGGACAAUUAUGUGAAAUCAAAGAGUUUCAUUUUGAAAUUGAAAAAUAAUUUAUAGAUUUAAAAAAUAGACUUAUGGCAUUUAGCCCAACUAGGAAACUAAAUUUAGAAUCAAUUGCACAGCGCUUUGAAACAAUGCAGGAUGAUAAAACAUAAGCUAUUAUGAUACAAAAAGGCGAAUGUUUGUGCAACUCAGCUUUAUUGUGUAAUUAUCUUCUGGUAGCAGACUUCCCAGAAAAGGCUGCAUGAGCUGGGCAAGUCACUGGGCCUUGGUUUGCUUAUUUUUAUGUUGAUAAUAAUAAAACACUCAACCCACAAAA